rnacentral:misc_RNA from 1 species
UAAUAAGUGUUUUAUGGCACUUUUUAAAUCCAUAUCCACCUUGUGUGCAAUGUCGGUCGAUCUUUUUUUGAGGAUCGACCAAACAUCAACCUUUAUUUUUAACUCUUUGUCUGAAAAAUAUUAUGAAUAAACAAUUCAAAAUA